CUGUGAAAAUACUGUAGUGAAGAAUAAUAAAUAAUAAAAAAAAAGUGAUGAUAAAGACCUCGUGGAAAGCCAUCUUACAUUGGAGAAACACUCCAACUGAGGGUAUGGAUAGUAGUCCUGCACAGAGACUGAUGUCAAAGAGGUUCAAGUAGCCAACAAGCUACUUGAACCAGAAAAGUUGUACCAGAAAUGUUAUGACUUAAGAGGUGUACCAGAAAAGGUAUAAGGUGAUAUAAGGUGUAUCAGAAAGGUUACGACUUAAGAGGCAAGUGUUCAAGGCAAGAUAUGACUAAUCUGCUAGGGAUUUACCUGAACUGAAUAUUGGGGAACAAAUCCAUAUGAAACCGCUUCCUGGAGAUCUAACAAGUCGCUGGAGAAUGGGAACCUGUCUGCAGAUCUGACGCAAUCGUGUGGAUCUGCGAGUGGUCGAGAAGCCUGAUUCACAAUAUCCAGUUGACAAGCCAGACACACCUGGUAUUCCAAGGACACACUCAUAUGUCGGAAGUAAAGAGUGUACAGAAGUGAUAUCACAGACUAAUGACAGCCCUAAGUAAGCAGGACCUGAAAGCAGUCAAGGAGAGAGAGUGUGUUUGUAUUUGUACUAAUUAUUUAUAGUGGUGGAACCCUUUUGUUUAAAAAAAAAAAAAAAAUCCCCAAACUAAACUAUUCCCAGGGAAACCUAAUCUCUGGUGGUCCGGUGGGAGAUGUAGCAUGUCUGCACCUCCAGCUCCUUCUUGCCAGUACAGGGAAAUAUGUCACAGCAUUGCUAUGGUAUUCCGCAGUAACGCUCAGAUACAGUACAGGCGAGCAAGACCGCUAAAGGUGUCUCUAUUAGUACACCAGUCCUUCAGGC